rnacentral:rRNA from 1 species
AUACGUAGGGUGCAAGCGUUAAUCGGAAUUACUGGGCGUAAAGCGUGCGCAGGCGGUUUUGUAAGACAGAGGUGAAAUCCCCGGGCUCAACCUGGGAACUGCCUUUGUGACUGCAAGGCUAGAGUACGGCAGAGGGGGAUGGAAUUCCGCGUGUAGCAGUGAAAUGCGUAGAUAUGCGGAGGGACACCGAUGGCGAAGGCAAUCCCCUGGGCCUUUACUGACGCUCAUGCACGAAAGCGUGGGGAGCAAACAGAAUUAGAUACCCUGGUAGUCCACGCCCGAAACGAUGUCAACUGUUUGUUGGGUCUUCAUUGACUCAGUAGCGAAGCUAACGCGUGAAGUUGACCGCCUGUGGAGUACGGCCGCAAGGUUGAAACUCAAAUGAAUUGGCGGGG